UCCUACGGGGGGCAGCAGUAGGGAAUAUUACUCAAUGGGGGAAACCCUGAAGCAGCAACGCCGCGUGGAGGAUGAAGGUUUUCGGAUUGUAAACUCCUUUUGUUAGAGAAGAUAUUGACGGUAUCUAACGAAUAAGCACCGGCUAACUCCGUGCCAGCAGCCGCGGUAAUACGGAGGGUGCAAGCGUUACUCGGAAUCACUGGGCGUAAAGAGCGCGUAGGCGGGAUAGCAAGUCAGAUGUGAAAUCCUAUGGCUUAACCAUAGAACUGCAUUUGAACCUGUUAUUCUAGAGUAUGGGAGGGGUA
rnacentral:rRNA from 1 species